UACAGAGGGGGCAAGCGUUGUUCGGAAUUACUGGGCGUAAAGGGCGCGUAGGCGGCCUGCUAAGUCGACCGUGAAAUCCCUGGGCUCAACCCAGGAACUGCGUCCGAUACUGGUUGGCUUGAAUCCGGGAGAGGGACGUGGAAUUCCAGGUGUAGCGGUGAAAUGCGUAGAUACCAGGAGGAACACCGGUGGCGAAGACGGCUUCCUGGCCAAGUACUGACGCUGAGGCACGAAAGCGUGGGGAGCGAACGGG
rnacentral:rRNA from 1 species